rnacentral:rRNA from 1 species
CAAGGUUGAAACUCAAAGGAAUUGACGGGGGCCCGCACAAGCAGUGGAGUAUGUGGUUUAAUUCGAAGCAACGCGAAGAACCUUACCAGGUCUUGACAUCGAGUGACGAACAUAGAGAUAUGUUUUUCCUUCGGGACACAAAGACAGGUGGUGCAUGGUUGUCGUCAGCUCGUGUCGUGAGAUGUUGGGUUAAGUCCCGCAACGAGCGCAACCCUUAUCAUUAGUUGCUACGCAAGAGCACUCUAAUGAGACUGCCGUUGAUAAAACGGAGGAAGGUGGGGAUGACGUCAAAUCAUCAUGCCCCUUAUGACCUGGGCUACACACGUACUACAAUGGUGAUCAAACAGAGGGAAGCAACACAGCGAUGUGAAGCAGAACCCGAAAAAUCAUCUCAGUUCAGAUUGCAGGCUGCAACUCGCCUGCAUGAAGUCGGAAUUGCUAGUAAUCGCGGAUCAGCAUGCCGCGGUGAAUACGUUCCCGGGCCUUGUACACACCGCCCGUCACACCAUGGGAGUCGGUAACACCCGAAGUCAGUAGCCUAACCGCAAGGAGGGCGCUGCCGAAGGUGGGAUUGAUGACUGGGGUGAAGUCGUAACAAGGUAACCGUAA